rnacentral:rRNA from 1 species
UAGGGAAUCUUCGGCAAUGGACGAAAGUCUGACCGAGCAACGCCGCGUGAGUGAAGAAGGUUUUCGGAUCGUAAAACUCUGUUGCUAGAGAAGAACAAGGACGUUAGUAACUGAACGUCCCCUGACGGUAUCUAACCAGAAAGCCACGGCUAACUACGUGCCAGCAGCCGCGGUAAUACGUAGGUGGCAAGCGUUGUCCGGAUUUAUUGGGCGUAAAGCGAGCGCAGGCGGUUUCUUAAGUCAGGUGUGAAAGCCCCCGGCUCAACCGGGGAGGGUCAUUGGAAACUGGGAGACUUGAGUGCAGAAGAGGAGAGUGGAAUUCCAUGUGUAGCGGUGAAAUGCGUAGAUAUAUGGAGGAACACCAGUGGCGAAGGCGGCUCUCUGGUCUGUAACUAACGCUGAGGCUCGAAAGCGUGGGGAGCAAACAGG